UGGGUGGGUAACACCACGUAUAUAUAGUAUUGAUUUUGCCAAAUUCACUUAGCAAAUUUAUUUUUGCUUAGAAAAUUUCCAUGUAGUUUGGCACGUGGUGAUGCAAAAUCAUGACUUAUUUGUUUAGGGAAUUUGCCAGUUUCCUCUUGAGGAUCCUUAGUUUCCCUACUCCUUAUUUAAUAUCUACUGGGAAUCCAAUAGAGAAAAGGGUAAAUCUUAUCCUUCCAUCUUCAAUUUAAGAUUGCAAAACAAAAAGCUACGUGAGAAGAAACCGACAAUUUUACUUUUUCAAAUUUUUUGUUUUGUUUUGAAGGCUGGGCAAAAAUGAGAAAAGUGUAUUAAAUAGAAGAAGGAAACAACAAUUAUUGCUUAGACGUAAUGACCAUUACGGUCACAAUGGUCCAACCUCUUGCACCUGCCAAAAUAACGCCAAGGCAACACGAAUUAUGGUCAGGCCGUAAUGGGGGGCUGUUUCGGUUGGUAAAAAGAAACGUCGUAAGGUGGCUUUAAUAUGGUUUAGUAGUAUUUGGAAAGCACGAAAUUCAGUGGUUUUUUUCUCAACAAGACUUAGAUUGCAGAAAUAUUGCUGAUGAAAUCAAGAUUUUAUCUUGGUAAAUAUUAUGUUUUAGAUCUAAUGACUUCAAAUUUUCGCUUCAACAAUGGAUGAUGAAUCCAUUGGGUUGCCUUGGGCUUUUUGGUAUGAAUAUCUUGUGGUUAUUAUCAUCUAUUGUUAUUUGGUUGGGUCUAGUUUUGUUGGAGACUCGCUACAGUGUUAUUCUGGUAUUGGCACUGGUCCAGUACCUUGAUAUGUUGGUUAGCUUCACAUCUGUGAUGUGUGGUAUAUCUUUAAAGGCGUACAAUUUGGGUGGUUGUAAUUGUUUGAACACAAAUAUAUGGGAGAUGUGUAUUAUAAUAUGCAGCUUGCAGAUUGAUACACACAGGGAGUAAUUUUUAUUUGCUAAAUUGAGGAUUGGUAUGUGAUGCUAACUUGAUGUGGGCUGGGAAGCAAUGUCAUCCUUUAUGCAAUUGUCUAUUCUGGCUGUACUAUGUUGUUAGUCUUUUUGCAUGAUCUUUAGCAUAUCUUAUGGUUGGAUUUCUGCUAAUCAGAUGAAAAAAACAUUCAGUUGAUAUUACCUGGUUGGCCCCGUGCGCAGUUGCUAUGUUUUCAUCAAGAAGGGUCAACAAAGAUCGAUUAAUCUCGUUGCUUACAACAUCAUCACUAAUGUGGUUAGUGUUGAUUACCUAACAAAGCCUCUUGAUGUUUACAAAGCCUCUUGCAGGAACUCUAAACUACAUCUUGCAAGGCCUUAGUGCAAUUUCAGUUAAUUUUUAAUUUUUUUUUCUUCUGAAUUUCUACUUAAAUUUUGUUUUCUAAACCUUGUUUUUUCUUCAAUGGAUUGCUAUCGACGGUUGAUUUUGGUUAGAUCUAGUGUUAUUGUGACAUUGGAGCUCAAAGGGUCUACCAUUUUGUUCAA